UUAAGUUCAGCGGGUAUUCCUACCUGAUUCGAGGUCAACCUUUUAGAUACUGGGGCGUUUUACGGCAGGGGACCGGUCCAACUAUAGGCGAGGUGAGUAAUUACUACGUCUAGAGUGUGAGCCGGCUCCGCCACUGACUUUGGGGAGCUACGGUGCCGUAGGCUCCCAACGCUAAGCAACAAGGGCUUAAGGGUUGAAAU
rnacentral:misc_RNA from 1 species